GCCGAGGGGCGGCCCGGGCCGCUCAUGGCCUCCUGCGCCGGGCGCGGCGCUGACGGCGAGUCGAGAGGGGCCGGGGAUGAUCCUGCCCGCCCGCCCGGCCGGGCUCGGCGGCAGCGAGGGGCGGGGGCUGGGCUCCGGGGCCUGGCGAGCCCGGCGCGGCGGCCAAGGGGGUGGCUGGGGCUGCGCGGGGGCAGAGCCGCCCUCCGUGCCCGGGAGGCCCCUGAGGCCCCUGGUGCCGUCACCAGCAGCCGGGGUGCUCCGGGGGGUCGGUGUGCGGGCAGGGCUGCGUGGCUCUCCGGGGUGUCGAGCCCCUUCCCACCCACACCUGGCUUUUCUGCUUGUUUUGUGUUUUAUUUUUUCCUUUUCAGGCACUGCUAAAAGUGGGGGCGCGCGAGAACAGAAGUGUUAAGUAAAAAUGUCAGGCAUUGGAGAGGUGGUUUUUAAUGAGAACAGCCGCUGGUUUGGCCCGGGCACUGACAGCUUCCUGCCCCAAAAGAAGUGUUUUGCUGGGAGUCUGCCUGUUUCUGCAUGCAGCACUGCUGGACAGGUGUAUGGAACUGCAGAGACGGGUGUUGCGUGCUGUGGAAUGAAGGCACAGUAAAGUUACUGUCAUUAUCUCUUAAAAAUAAUAUUUUAAUUAUAUUUAUUCCGCUCUGUGUCGGGGCCUUGUCCAGUAAUCAUACCUGUGUAUAAUGUUAGCAAAACUCCUGCCACCUUUGGAAGCUUAGUAGUUAAUACAGUUGUUCAGAAAAGCCUGCUUGUUAUUCUAAUAUGAACUUACUUCUGAUCAUCACACUGCACUUACUGUAACUUUUUUCCUCUAUCAAAUGUUUGAUGGGUUUUCUUGGGGUCCUUAAACCUCAUGUGAUGGUGUUAACUUUUGUAUGCCAGUUACUCCAUUGUAUUGUUCAGUCUUAGACUUGUUUUGCUCUUGUAUCAUUUGUAGUUGCUCUUUGAAAUCUCUGGUUUACUAGUAACUUCUUGGACUAGAUGCAUGAUUCUGAUAAAGCUGUUCCAAUAAACGUGGACACAGAAUUGUCAUUCUGUUGCUGCUUCCUGAAAUGCAUCAAUGCCCUUUGCCAAUGGAGAUGAGCACUUGAAAAAUCCGUUUUCAUGACAGUCUCAGUUUCUCUGGCCUCUUCCUCCCUGCAAGGAAAGCAGCAUUUGGUUCUGGUUUGUUUUCUGAGCCAUUUAAUAAUUACAUUGCCAAUUUUGAACUUAAUUAUGCAUAAGGAACCCAUGUUUACUUUGUUAUCAGCUAUUUCAGCUACUUCCUGAGGAAGUUUUCCAUCUACAAAUGUUUCAUAUUCAUCACUCUUAAAGACAUGAUCUCACACUGAUCAUGCUGAAGCACUUAAUUUUCCAGUAAUCCAGAUGGUUCAAAAUCAGCAAUCUUGCUACAUUAUUUACUUAAGAGCUUUUAUUAAUGUUCUUAGUAAACCUUAUCUGCAGAUAAAAUAUUGAGUAGCUUGCUGCCAAGACCCCAGUUCUUGUGGGAUUCAAUCAGAAAUGUGUCUGAUUCCUCAUGGAUGACACAGAUCUGUAACCUUAGUUUUUAUUUGCUUACUAUGAACUGUAUGUGCAUAACUAUGGUGGUUUCUCUGUGUCCUUCUGAGUAAGUCAAUGUACAAAUGUGUUAUGUCAACAUUGUUCCUAUUGCCUACAAAACAUGUGCUAUAAAUGGAUGAGGAAAAAAGACAAUCUGAAAAGAUAGUUUUUCCAUACAUUCAAGCUGUGUAAUUUAAGUAGAAUUUUCUCAUUUAUUUCUGGUUCUUCUAUCAAGAAGUCAGGUUUGUGGGUUGGCUUUUUUUCUUGGGGAUUUAUGCAACGUUGACAGUAAGUUCCUGAAUUUGUUCCUUUCUUACUUUUUUCCCCCUACUAUUGGCACCACCUCAGCUUUCUUUGAGAUUCUUUUUUUUUUUUUUUAUUGAGCUUCCCCAGAUUUCUCAAAGCUUAUGGAAAAUCCACAUUAACAGCACAUGAGUCUCCUUUGCCAGCUCUUAAAAUUCUUGGAUGCAAGCUAUCUGGAGCUGCUGAUGUAAAAACCGCUUUACUUCUGUUCCUAUGUUUAAGGCUUUCCUUAGCUACUGUUAGAAUUUUUUGCUAUAUGUUGUUUUUUCUCCACAAGUAUAGAACAGAAAUGUAUCUAAACUUUCUGCUUUCUCUGAAAUACACUAUGAAAAUACUCUCUUGUGUUAUUCAGGUGUGUAAAAAUCCAUUAUAAAUACCACUUUUCCCCCACCUUCUGAAUAUCUUGUCAUUCUUUGCUUCUAAUAAAUAUUUUGUAUCAUG